rnacentral:ncRNA from 2 species
UUUUUUCACUAGGGGAGUCUAACGACUGAGACGAGCUUUUAAGCUUCGGACCCUUGGAACCUGAUCUGGAUUAUACCAGCGGAGGGAAGUGGAACGAAAUCUUC